CGUAAAGGAAGGCGAGCCAGUACACAACGUCCUGUUGUUGGCUCGCCCAACUUGCAUCCUGCAAG
rnacentral:sRNA from 1 species